GCCUGGCUGGCUCAGUUGGUAGAGCAUGUGACUCCUGACCUUGGGGUCAUGAGUUUGAGCCCCAUGCUGGGUG
rnacentral:tRNA from 1 species